CUGUCCAAAUGAUGCUAGCACUGGGCUCUGAAUUUGUAUGAAAGAGGAAAUGUGCCCCUCUGUCUUGACAUGCAGAGGGCCUGAAGGACAG